rnacentral:rRNA from 1 species
GAGACACGCUGGCGGCGUGCCUAACACAUGCAAGUCGAGCGGAGUCGAUCGACGGAAGCCUUCGGGCGGAAGAUGGUUGACUUAGCGGCGGAUGGGUGAGUAACGCGUGGGCAACCUGCCUCGAAGACCGGGAUAACAGCCCGAAAGGGCUGCUAAUACCGGAUGUGGUCAAGGAUCCGCAUGGAUUUUGAUUAAAGGGGAAACCCGUUUCGAGAUGGGCCCGCGUCCUAUCAGCUAGUUGGUGAGGUAAAAGCUCACCAAGGCGACGACGGGUAGCCGGCCUGAGAGGGUGACCGGCCACACUGGAACUGAGACACGGUCCAGACUCCUACGGGGGGCAGCAGUGGGGAAUCUUCCACAAUGGGCGAAAGCCUGAUGGAGCGACGCCGCGUGAGCGAAGAAGGCCUUCGGGUUGUAAAGCUCUGUCUGGAGGGACGAAGGAAGUGACGGUACCUCCGGAGGAAGCCACGGCUAACUACGUG